GCACCAGUGGUUCAGUGGUAGAAUGCUCGCCUGCCACGCCAGAACGCAGCCCGGGUUCGAUUCCUGGCCGAUGCA
rnacentral:tRNA from 1 species